rnacentral:lncRNA from 1 species
UCCGUUCGUCGAAGGUUGCACGAUCCUACGCCGCUCUUUCGACGCUGACCUACAAAGCGAUUCUCGCGGCUGCGAACGACCACUUGGACGAGAACUUCUCCAUCGAAAUCGUCGUUAAAUUGCGUCAAUCGAUACGUGGAUAUCGCCAAGUGUUAACCUAUCAUCUUAAAUCAACCUUUCAUUUAGAUUUCUUCGAUUUUCAUUUCGAUCCGCGACUAUCGCUAUCGAACAAUGCGAGGUCAUACGCUCUUGGUCCUCGCACUCGAAGAUUAAUGCGAAUAACCUCUUACUGUUUGAUAAUGGUAUACGCGGUCGCGUAUCAACACGUGUCUUUUUUUCAAGAGUGCAUUCAAUCUGUACUUAGCUGUGUGAAACAUUACCCGCCUUAAUCAACCUGUUCUGAAUUCGUAAGGUUUAAAUAGGACUAAAAUUUGUGAGCUGUUUAUAGGAUCUUUGAAAGGAACGUUGUCGGAACAGUAUAUCGUACAUAUCACCAAAUCAUUGCAGCUGAAGAAUAACAAUAUAUGGUAGGAAAAAUGGAGGUGAGAAAAAAGCGACGGGACACGAGGACACGCGCUUUAAAGACUCCUUGGGCUUUUCCACGUCAUUGUUCGCCGCGAGACUAACGCGACCGGAAGAGAAACGGCGAGAGAGGAAGAGGAGAAGGAAGCCUCGUAAUUUUCCAACCGUGCCACCGACGCCGCUACGUAACAAUGAACGAGGGAGAUCCCGCGAAUACAAUGGCAGAGCUGCACGCUGAAAUCAUAGCACCGCCACGAAAAUCCCGUAAAUCUACCUGCGAUAACCGAUUCCCGCGUGAAAUUCGCGACCCCCUGUCGAUCGAACUUUCCAUUUACAGUCUAAUAUACAUCUAGCGCGAUCGAGCAUGUGAUUCGUUCGUUUUACACAAGAAAAUCAUAUACUCCCAGUCUGCACGUCCUCCGAUAGCGGUAGCUACUUGUGGCCUCACGUUUUGAUCGGUUGUCACGUAUUUCUUUGACACUACUUUCUGUCUUUUUCUUUAUCGACUUCGCCUGUGAAACUGUAAGAUAAUCUGGACCUAGUGAAACAUGGACUCGAAGCUAAGUCUAGAACAAUUAAGAUCUAAAGGGCGACGUAGAACUAAGGAAAUAUUUGACCAAUGAAAACGUAGACCUAUGCUAGAAGUGACACAGAUUGGAAGAGACUUGUGAACGUAUUUGGGAUAUAAAGUAAAUUGAAAUUUAGAUAUAUUGCAACCUAGACCUUGGGAAAGUUAGAUUGUAAUUUAAAAGCAAUAAGUCUGCGCUAGUAAAACGCAGUCACUCAUUCAGCGAUUCUUUCCAUGGAGAGAGGAAAGUUUAUGGAAGGAAAGCGAAGAAGAGGAAGUCUGAUGGAAGGAACGCGAACUCGUACCGAUAAGCAACUGUCGUAAAAGAUUUACGACACGGGGAACAUCUGUCGUUGCGAUGCCGCUGUUCUCCACGCUUCGAUUGGUUUGCAAACGUAUCGAGAUCUCGAUAGGAGACAGUGAUCGGAACACCGCCUAUGAAACUCCUUGGAAAUGCAGCUAGUUCGCUCCGAUCGAGCUAAGCGUGUAUAAGGCUGUCUAGUGUCAGUCUUCGAGAAACUCCAUUCCCGACCCAAUUUAUUUCAGACCUACGUUAACGCCUUAUAGAUAAUCGUUAUAAUACAGAAAAUUUGGAAAACCCUUAAACAUAUCCUUAUAAGAGAAAAGAUGGACUUGAGAACUUAGACUUAAGAUCUUAUGAAGAACCUAGAAUUGUGAAAGAUUUCUCAACAGCCUUGUCUGAGUCCAAGAACAGGUCGAACCCAAAGAAAUCUCAGAUCAGACAAAAGUCGAGCUACGGAAAUAUUUCAGACUGUAGUGCAAUAUUGAAAGAUAUAAUAGGAAAUUUGAGCAUUUUGACGAGGUAAUUGGAAGAAGUCCACGACAUAGUUUGAACAUCGUAGGAUCGAAGAAAGAACGAUUACUCGAACGGAACGAGGUACAUUGGGUUUCUUCCGAUCGAACGGGAACACUCCGGAACCAUUACCGUAAAGUGUCGGGAGUAAAACGGUAUUACAGUGAAAAGCUGCAUGGUGUGACGAAAGGGCAACGAACGCCGCUUAAAUUUUGCCACUUAAACCUUUCCAGCCGGACCGUUUCGCUCUGAUUACCCAAUCAAAAAUAUUCUCGGGCAUUCUGGAAGCUCGCGAGCGUGACCGGAUCGCGACCCGUUCAAUUUUACCGAACGUGUCGCAUCGUUCGAACAAUACGAAACUCCGCUUCGAUUUCGAACGGGUUACGUGAAACGGGGCGCGAAAUCGCUGAAACGCAAAACCGUUUAUCGCCAAUUGCGAAUCGGAUAAGAGGCUAACAGCCCCUUUAAACUCGUACACCCGCAGUUAAGUUUCUACGAACAACCCUUUGAGAACGAUAAGCCCGUAUAUAUGAAUGCAACGGAAAUUAUUAUUAUGAUUUGCAAGCUCUUAUGAAUUAUGAAUCUUGACACAAAUAAACAUUCGAGAUUAGUACUUUAGAAGAGGAACAAUAUAGCCGUGCAUGCAUAAUAUCUAGGUCGAAAAUCCGCAAAGGGUUAAGGGCACCUGUCUCCACCUUAAUUAGAUGCGUACAACUGUGCAGCAGCGUCACGUGCGGAUAACGGUUCUAAGAAAAUCAUUACGGUGAUCACAGACUCUUACAUCUUGGAUAAACAAAUAAUUUACAAUGUAUACUCUGUAAGGGAAACAGCAUACUUCACAGAGGGUCCUUCUAACCUGACAUUUGAUUCACCAUAAAAAACUCUACUAUCAAUUUUUUAGUUCAUCAAGUUUAGCAAUUUGCAAAUUCGAAAAUCUAAACCUAAAAAUUUAUGAAUUCUAAAAUUUGAAAAUUGCAAGUAGUUGAUCCCUCAAGACCGAAGAGUCAGUCAUCCGACCGUACAGUGUCAAGUCAGAAGGGUUAAGGACACCGUUUUCCCUCCGAAUUAGAUGCACACCGUUGAAUUGCGCAGUAGCGUCGCGUGUGGGCGACCAAGUAUAACGGUAGCAGUAAAAGCGAUCGACCGGCAUUUCGAACGCAACAACAUCGAUAUGAAUUUUACUAGCCUCUACCAAUUUCAAAUGCUUGUGUCGCGCGGGAAUCAGAAAUUACGAUAUGCACCGGCGUAAAAGCGAGCGUGCGUAAUUCUCGAUUUAACCGGGAGAGAAUCAACAGGGUAUCGUUCGGAAAUGUAUAUUCCGCGCCUGAUGAUCAUAUGACUUUCCGAAGACGAUAACGACAUCUUCUGAGCGAAGACGAAAC